AGCAGUCGCCGCGGUAAUACGUAGGUGGCAAGCGUUGUCCGGAAUUAUUGGGCGUAAAGGGCUCGCAGGCGGUUUCUUAAGUCUGAUGUGAAAGCCCCCGGCUCAACCGGGGAGGGUCAUUGGAAACUGGGAAACUUGAGUGCAGAAGAGGAGAGUGGAAUUCCACGUGUAGCGGUGAAAUGCGUAGAGAUGUGGAGGAACACCAGUGGCGAAGGCGACUCUCUGGUCUGUAACUGACGCUGAGAGCGAAAGCGUGGGGAGCGAACAGGAUUAGAGACCCCAGUAGUCCCUGUCUCUUAUACC
rnacentral:rRNA from 1 species